GAACGCUAGCUACAGGCUUAACACAUGCAAGUCGAGGGGCAUCAGGAAGAAAGCUUGCUUUCUUUGCUGGCGACCGGCGCACGGGUGAGUAACACGUAUCCAACCUGCCCUUUACUCGGGGAUAGCCUUUCGAAAGAAAGAUUAAUACCCGAUAGCAUAAUGAUUCCGCAUGGUUUCAUUAUUAAAGGAUUCCGGUAAAGGAUGGGGAUGCGUUCCAUUAGGUUGUUGGUGAGGUAACGGCCCACCAAGCCUUCGAUGGAUAGGGGUUCUGAGAGGAAGGUCCCCCACAUUGGAACUGAGACACGGUCCAAACUCCUACAGGAGGCAGCAGUGAGGAAUAUUGGUCAAUGGGCGCUAGCCUGAACCAGCCAAGUAGCGUGAAGGAUGAAGGCUCUAUGGGUCGUAAACUUCUUUUAUAUAAGAAUAAAGUGCACUAUGUAUACUGUUUUGUAUGUAUUAUAUGAAUAAGGAUCGGCUAACUCCGUGCCAGCAGCCGCGGUAAUACGGAGGAUCCGAGCGUUAUCCGGAUUUAUUGGGUUUAAAGGGAGCGUAGGUGGACUGGUAAGUCAGUUGUGAAAGUUUGCGGCUCACCCGUAAAAUUGCAGUUGAUACUGUCAGUCUUGAGUACAGUAGAGGUGGGCGGAAUUCGUGGUGUAGCGGUGAAAUGCUUAGAUAUCACGAAGAACUCCGAUUGCGAAGGCAGCUCACUGGACUGCAACUGACACUGAUGCUCGAAAGUGUGGGUAUCAAACAGGAUUAGAUACCCUGGUAGUCCACACAGUAAACGAUGAAUACUCGCUGCUUGCGAUAUACAGUAAGCGGCCAAGCGAAAGCAUUAAGUAUUCCACCUGGGGAGUACGCCGGCAACGGUGAAACUCAAAGGAAUUGACGGGGGCCCGCACAAGCGGAGGAACAUGUGGUUUAAUUCGAUGAUACGCGAGGAACCUUACCCGGGCUUAAAUUGCAGUGGAAUGAUGUGGAAACAUGUCAGUGAGCAAUCACCGCUGUGAAGGUGCUGCAUGGUUGUCGUCAGCUCGUGCCGUGAGGUGUCGGCUUAAGUGCCAUAACGAGCGCAACCCUUAUCUUUAGUUACUAACAGGUUAUGCUGAGGACUCUGGAGAGACUGCCGUCGUAAGAUGUGAGGAAGGUGGGGAUGACGUCAAAUCAGCACGGCCCUUACGUCCGGGGCUACACACGUGUUACAAUGGGGGGUACAGAAGGCAGCUAGCGGGUGACCGUAUGCUAAUCCCAAAAGCCUCUCUCAGUUCGGAUCGAAGUCUGCAACCCGACUUCGUGAAGCUGGAUUCGCUAGUAAUCGCGCAUCAGCCACGGCGCGGUGAAUACGUUCCCGGGCCUUGUACACACCGCCCGUCAAGCCAUGGGAGCCGGGGGUACCUGAAGUACGUAACCGCAAGGAUCGUCCUAGGGUAAAACUGGUGACUGGGG
rnacentral:rRNA from 1 species